AAUAGCCUAACGGCUGAACCAGCAACUUGGAGGAACGAAUAGCAAUGGCUAAUUGCACAUACAUAUGAUGCAAUAUCGACUCAGUCGAAUAAAAUUCUGGCUAGUAUUAUGAUAAUGACAUUGUCUGGCUAUGUGUCUUGACUAAAUUACGUGCCAGCAGUCGCGGUAAUACGUAGAAGACUAGUGUUAUUCAUCUUUAAUAGGUUUAAAGGGUACCCAGACGGUAUAUCAAGCCCUAGACGGGACUAAUUUGCUAGAGUUAUUUAUGCGGGGGCUAUAAAGUACUAACGGUGUAGAGAUAAAAUUUUGUAAUACCAUUUUUCGAAAGAAAAGUAACGGCACUGGUAAAGGCGAAAGCAUCCCCUUAUGAGAUAACUGACGUUGAAGGACGAAGGCUUUGGAUCGCAAAUAGGAUUAGGUACCCUAGUAGUCAAAGCAGAGAAUUAUGAGUGUCAUAGAUUAGAUAUUAAUUUUAUUCUAUAAAUGAAAGGGUAAGCAUUCCACCUCAAGAGUAAU
rnacentral:rRNA from 1 species